rnacentral:miRNA from 1 species
AGAGCAGAAGGAUGUGGU